GGGAACUACGAGCUAAGCUUAAAACCCAAAGGACUUGACGGUACCCCAUAUCCCCCUAGAGGAGCCUGUCCUAUAAUCGAUAACCCCCGUUUAACCUCACCAUUUUUUGCCAGUCAGCCUGUAUACCUCCGUCGUCAGCUUACCACGUGAGCGUCAGUGAGCCUAAUGUUUCUCCAACUACACGUCAGGUCAAGGUGCAACAUAUAAAAUGGGAAAGAGAUGGGCUACACUUUCUACCAUAGAAAUAACGAAAGACUAAAUGAAACCUAGUCAGAAGGCGGAUUUAAGCAGUAAAAUGAAAACUAGAAGCGUUCACUUAAAUGCGGGCCCUGGGGGUGUGGACACACCGCCCCGUCCACCCCUCCUCAACUCUGCCAUAAAAGA
rnacentral:rRNA from 1 species